UGGUCCGUAGUUCAGUUGUUUAGAAUACCGGCCUGUCAAGCCGGAGGUCGCGGGUUCGAGGCCCGUCGGCCCCG
rnacentral:tRNA from 1 species